GAUAUUCUAACAACAAACUACCUAGCUUAGCUAGUUGGCAGCUCCGCAUCGUGAACUGCAUCGGAAAGGGCAUCCGAUCUCUCUUUUAUGGGCUGUUUCCCUCGUAUCUGACCUAUCCGAGUUAGCCCUCCCAAGCGGACAAAGAGGUGGAUCAUCUGAUCUUGAAAUAGGUCAUCCCGGCUAUCCCGAUCUUUUAUCUGUUCAUUUCGUCAGGUAUCUGAAUCAUACGAUUCUGAGGAUUCUGCUUUUCACAUUCAUUCUACAGGACCAAAACGAGGCCUUUCCUCGCUAGUUGGAAUAAAAACCUCAACAGCAGCCUUCAUUGAACCCCUUCAAAGAGGUGGAUCAUCUGAUAUUGAAAUAAGUCAUCCCGGCUAUCCCGAUCUUUUAUCUAUUCAUUUGGUCAGGUAUCAGAAUCAUACGAUUUUGAGGAUUCUGCUUUUCACAUUCAUUCUACAGGACCAAAACGAGGCCUUUCCUCGCUAGUUGGAAUAAAAACCUCAACAGCAGCCUUCAUUGAACCCCUUCUUCCUAUCCUUGCUACCUAUGAAACGAGUCCCUCUUUCAUUCACUAAAGAAGACGCAGCACAGCCUUCAUUGAACUCCUUCUUCCUAUCCUUGCUACCUAUGAAACGAGUCCCUCUUUCAUUCACUAA
rnacentral:lncRNA from 1 species